AAAAAAAUAACAAAUUAUAUAUGUUAAAAAUUAAUCAAUAUAAAUAUAAUUAUAAAUGUUUAGUCAAUAUAGUCAUAAUAUGUGCAUAAAUAUCAGGACACAAGUGUGUAUGUCUUAAAUAUAAAUCCAUGUAAUAAAUAAUAAGACGUUGAGUGUGUGUAGGUUUUUGAAAUGCUAUUAUAAUAUUUGAUAAUAUACAUUACUGCAGAAGAAAAAAAUUAAUAAAAUAAAAGAUCAGAAAAAAGGACGGCAGAAGGAGAAAGAGUGAUAUAGAAGAGUAUCCUAAAAGAGACAAAUAACAAUAAUAAAUUAGAAAUAGUAUUAUGCAUUUGCCUGAAUUUUCAAAGCAUUUAAGCACUGAAGUUAUGGUGAAUCUAGAGGAAGAUAAUGAUAUUGUGUUGAGUUACCACAAUUAUGUGGUGAGAUCAUCGGAUGCCGCAUUAUUGGAGAAAAAUGACACAUGGCUCAACGACAUUGUGAUAGGAUUUUAUUUUGAAUAUUUGGAUCAACAAUAUAAAAAGGAUAAUAAGAGACUGUUAUUAUUUAUUGAUCCUGGAGUGACUCAGUUAUUAAAGAUGCAAGCCCCUUUGCAGUAUAAUAUAUUUCUUGAUCCUAUUGAAGCGACAAGUUAUGACUUCAUAUUCUUUCCUUUGAAUGACUGCGAUGGAAAUGAGCCAGGUGGCUCACAUUGGAGUUUGUUGAUAUACUCUCGUAAAGAUGAGAUGUGUUAUCAUUACGAUUCAUCAAAUAAUAUUAACAGAUCUAUCGCAGAAAAAUUUGCUAGGAAUGUAAUCAAAUAUUUUCUUAAUAAGCAAGAAAGAAGAUACAUUGAAAUGGAUUGUCCACAACAAAAUAAUUGCUUUGAUUGUGGUUUAUUUGUCUUAUGUUUAGCAGAUUUAAUAUCCAAAUAUAUUCUGAAGGGUUUAAAAAUAAGCAAUUGUGAUUAUAGUGUAAUUACAGAAAUGGUCUCAAAAAAGCGUAUGGAAUUAUUAGGAUUGAUUCAGGAUUUAAGAAAUAUACAUGAUAAUGAAUAACAUAAUUGCUAUAAAUAUUUAAAAUAUAAUUAAGAGAUGCGCAGCCUGGAAAAAAACGUUGGGAAAAAAAUUUUACUAAAUUUAAAAAGAAACAGGGCCACAAAUUGAGAGAUGAUAAAAAUUACACUUUGACUUGCCAGUUAAUGCGAAUGCUAAGUCGAUUUCUCUUUUCAUAAGUUCAAGAAUCGCGCUAGCACCUUUUUCGCCAUUGUACGUCAAACCCCAUAACAUCGGUCGGCCGAAGAAUACCUGAGAAGAAAGGAUGCAAUCAAUUGAUAAUUGUAAAAGAUACAAACAAAAAACUUUUGCAGUGAUAAAAAAAAAUCACAUUUGAACGCAGCACGAUACUGAUUCAUAAAUAGAACGAAACUGUUCAGAUACUUUCGCGCAAAUCAUUGUAUUUGCUAUUCCGUAAAUUUGUCAUACCAUUUUUGCGCCCAAUGCCAAGGCUUUUAAUACGUCGAUACCUUGAGUCACUCCGCCGUCCAUGUAGACCUCGACUUGAUCUCCCACGGCUUUACUUAUUUCAGCAAGAAUUAUGAACCGACCGUUGCUGGAACGCUGUCUAUUUGACGUGCACCAUGAUUCGAAACAAUAAUGCCAUCGACUCCAUUUUCCACAGCCAAACGUGCAUCUUCUGCCGUUAGAAUUCCUUUAAGAAUUAUCGGUAGUGUUGUAGUUCUACAACAAAUCGACUAGAAUACUAUUUAUAUUUGACCUGCUCAACGCAAUUAAAUAUGAAAAUGUAAAGAGAUCUAAUAUGCCAAAUAUGUCAAGAUAAAAAAAUUUUCACCAG